AAUUAAAUAAAUAUCAUAUUUUUUCGAUUAGGGUUCUUGAUCCCCCCAAAUUUUUAAACCCUAAUCCCCCAAAAAUUCCAAACUAAUCUCUACUCUUUUUUCCCCAAAUCAUUAGGGCUUUUCAAAUUCAUUCAUUCAUGAUCACACAACAACACAUAUUUUAAUCCAUACACCUAUACAUACAAUAAUCUAUAUCUAUAUAUAUAUAUACGUAUAUACGAUGGAUUUAGAUGGAGGGAAACGUGUUUUCAACAGAUUAGGCCCAUCAUCAUCUCAUCAAAAUCAUAAUCAAAAUCAAAAUCAAAAUCAAAAUCAAAAUCAAAAAGUUUGUUAUCAUUGGAGAGCUGGAAACUGCAAUAGACAUCCAUGUCCUUUUCUACACAGAGAAUUAUCGGCACCGCCAGUUAACGGAACGACGUCGUCUAAACGUGGGUUUUCGACAGAUGAUCAGUAUCAAAGACCGAAUAAUAACAGUGUACGACGAGGCGGUUUCAGCACGUGGGGUCCACGUGGCGGUGGAAGAGGGAACGGGCCGAAUAAUAAUGGUAAUAAUAGGGUUGUUGUGAAGCAAGAAAAAAUAUGUAAUUAUUGGAUGCAAGGGAAAUGUAGCUAUGGAGAUACUUGUAGGUUUUUGCAUUCGUGGUCAACGGGGAGUUUCGGUAUGUUGACUCAUCUUGAAGGGCAUCAAAAGAUUGUGAGUGGGAUUACGUUUCCGGUUGGUUCGGAUAAGUUAUAUACUGGGAGUAAAGAUGAGACUGUGAGAGUUUGGGAUUGCCAAUCUGGACAGUGUGUAGCGGUUAUAAAUGUGGGUGGUGAGGUGGGUUGUAUGCUCAGCGAAGGGCCAUGGAUGUUUGUAGGCUUACCGAAUCUUGUCAAGGCAUGGAAUAUGCAAAAUUCAGCAGAACUGACUCUUAAUGGACCUGUUGGUCAAGUAUAUUCACUGGUUGCGGGCAAUGAUUUACUCUUCGCGGGCACACAGGAUGGGAGUAUCUUGGCAUGGAAGUAUAAUACUGUCACAAGCAACUUUGAACCAGCUGCAGCACUUCAAGGGCACACCUCAGCUGUUGUUUCACUAGUCGUUGGAGGAGCAAAAAGAUUAUACUCUGGUUCUAUGGACAAAUCUAUAAAAGUUUGGAACCUUGAGAAUUUACAGUGUCUACAAACACUGACAGACCAUACUUCUGUCGUCAUGUCAGUUCUUUGCUGGGAUCAAUUUCUUUUAUCAUGUUCACUGGACAAAACAAUAAAGAUUUGGGUGGCUAAUAGUAGUGGAGACUUGGAAGUUACUUACACGCAUACCGAGGAACAUUUGAUAUGGUCAAUCCAAAGGGCCUGAAGGACAUCAAACACCCUGGAUAAAUGGUGAAGAACGUUAGGGAGGACAUGGACCUCCACAUCUGCACGUACCAACUACUAAGAUGAUGUGGAUUCUUAUGUGACAAUAAUCUGCUUUCCCAAUUCAAUUGUUGUAUAAGUUUAUUUUGUGCAUCUUGUUGUAUAUGCAUGUAUUUUUCUUUGAUAGUGUCCCUUUUGAUCAUAUACUUUAGAAGACAAUCGAACAUGCUUGAAGGAUAAAGUUUUCAUACCUUUCCCCAUCAUGCACCCCUAGUGAUUUAACUAACUCCUCUCAUUUUAGUUGAUAUGGUCAAUCCAAAGGGCCUGAAAACCCAGCUGUCUUUAGUUACUUUUGGUGUUGUUUUUGGUCAUUACACCAGGAAAGCUUUAAACCAUUGAUAUAUGCUUUGAUUAUUAGUAUAAUAGUAAUUAGGCAUCUGUUUGUUAUUAUGAUUGGGGUAUCAAACUAUUUAGAAUGUAUUUGACCUUGCUAUUUAUAGUGCACACAGAUCAUUAUAAGUUUGAUAGAAGUUCUGUUGCCAUUCUGGAUUUUAAGUCUUUCAAGCUUUAUUUUUGUUCUUUUGAGCAUAUCGUCCUCUGUCGCUGAUGAUCUAAAACAGUCUUGAAUUCAAGAUAAUGGGGUCAUCUAAGAACAGAUAUAGAUCAGAAUAAUCGAGGCCAAACAAGUACAAGAGGUUGGGGUAAAUCAUUGGCCUGCUUACUUUAUGUGGGAUGCAUGAUCUAGAAUCCAAGCCAGUAUUGCUAUGCUCCUGCAAUGAUAACUCUGUUCGUGCA